rnacentral:rRNA from 1 species
GUAGGUGGCAAGCGUUGUCCGGAAUUAUUGGGCGUAAAGCGCGCGCAGGCGGUUCUUUAAGUCUGAUGUGAAAGCCCACGGCUCAACCGUGGAGGGUCAUUGGAGACUGGAGAACUUGAGUACAGAAGAGGAAAGCGGAAUUCCACGUGUAGCGGUGAAAUGCGUAGAGAUGUGGAGGAACACCAGUGGCGAAGGCGGCUUUCUGGUCUGUAACUGACGCUGAGGCGCGAAAGCGUGGGGGAGCAAACAGGAUUAGAUACCCUGGUAGUCCACGCCGUAAACGAUGAGUGCUAAGUGUUAGGGGGUUUCCGCCCCUUAGUGCUGCAGCUAACGCAUUAAGCACUCCGCCUGGGAGUACGACCGCAAGGUUG